UUUGGUUUCCAUUCAACACGUCAUCAGGCCGGCUAUAAAACUGUUAGAUGUAAGCUGGUCGGUUGUGUCCGGAUACCCGGUUGAUGGGUUUUAAAUGGGACGCCGUUUGCUACAGUCCAAAUACUGUUUAUUGAUGUGACAAAUCAGGCAUUUGUUUAGAUUACACCCAUCAUUCAUUCAUAUGACUUCGCAUCUACGUCGGGAAGGGUUCAACAUCCAAAUUUGACUGUAUGAUUUAACACAUUCUAAUUGGCAAAGCAAAUACAUUGACUACUUGUGCACAACAAGGCGAAAUAAAACAUCUGGCUUUCGAUUGAAUAACGUCUCAAGUCCAUUCUGGUUGUUAUUCAAUCAAUGCCAUUUUUGGACAAAGUGUCAUUAUUUUAAUGUAACUCUCACAGCUACGGACGAAAAACUGGUUUUUUACGGUUUUCUAGUGAAAAUCCUCCGCGAAUAAUCCCAUGUUUUCAUAGAGUUCAAAUAUUGGUGACCUUUUUAUGUACAAACAAGACGUUUUUCAUAACUUUUGUCUCAAAAGUACCUACUUUGUCAGGAUUCUAAAAUGCGGAAACAAGUUGUGAGAAAAACUCCCGAAUUUUCAGAGAGAUUGCGAAUGCUCAAAUGAAAAUCAGCUUCUACGUAACCUACAAGAGCGACAAUUUUAGUUUGAUAUAUCAGUUGAGGGAAAUUAUUUCUACUCUCUUGGCUUUUGAAUAAGAAACACUUUUUUUGAGAAUUGAGAAGCGACUAAAAACCCUGAAGGGCGAAUUAACAACAAUAGGAAAUAUUUACGGUUGGUUGAAAACAGUUUAUCAUCACUGCCAAUUGCGAAGGCCAAACAAAAGUAUCAUGUUUUACAGUUAUUACAAUCUUCCAAUGGUGAGUUAUGCUAGUUCUUGCUGAAGUGCAUUUCAUAUAAAUGCGAAGUGACCCUCAUAUGCACAUUUUACCUGCUGGGCAUACCAGUUUUAGUAGCAAAGGAAUACUUAUUUAUAUCACUUGAAUCGAACAAGUUCUCCAUUGAAAAGUAUUAGUGUCGUUUUAGGUCAUAAUCUAAAAUGGUUUUCAGCUCCACAGGAUGAUGGUUCAACGACACUGAGUCAGUUAUUUUAGUCUUAUUUUCAUACUUCAUACUUAAUAAAAGCAAUAGUACUUAAUUCAUGUUUUUCACACAAAAAUGUUUUCAAUUUUCAAUUCAAUUUUGUUUUGUUUUCUAGCACGGUUUCAAGCGAUACUAUUAUCUAAUAUUUGUUAUAAAACAUUAAGUAAAUCUUAUUUAUCUGCUAUUUUUUCAUGAAACGCAGUAAAUUGUUGGAAGGCAAGUUCGCCUUAAAUUUGUAAGACACAUACGAACAUUUCUUUGAAGCUCAAACUAUUGACCGAACGGAAUGUUAUUUCUUUCUAGUUCAAGAGGCGACGCAACGGAGCAAAUUUAUAAAAGUUUAGAGCUUACCAAAGAAAAAAUACUCAAAUUUAAAAUAAUAAUUAAUCUUCUUAAUAUUUCCAUGCUAAAUAUCAUUAUUCAUUUGCAAAAUUCAGGCCUUGUGGGUUAAGCUGGACAUUGAAAUGUAAACCAGGUGCUUUUUGUCCUCAACUUUUCAAACUGCGUAAUUAUUCAUUGAACAUUUAAUUACUAGAGUGCAUCCAUAAAUUAUUUUUAGCCACAUUUCCACAGAUUGACACAGUUUAUGUUAGUAAAACCCAAAUUGCUCAUGCACAUUCACAAUUUCUAAUUGCUUCAUAAUAAAUAAUGAUGAUUUACAGGUAGGUGUGUGUAACACACUUGAUGUAAAUGUAGAUUGGAUUCCUAUUUUAUGCUUUUAUUAUUUGCUUUACUUAAAAUAGACUAAUCACUUUCGGACUGUUGGAGUUAACUCAAUUUCAUCUCACAUUGGAUGUUUUACGUGAAACCUUGCAACUGUUCUGAAGAUGAUCAGAACCAACCUAACAAUGCUAGUAAAUUAAAUGUUCGUCUGGAUUUAUAAACGUUUCAAUUGCAGCUGCGGAAAGCAUUCUCAGAGGAACAAAAAGGAAUAAUUCUUUUACGGAAGUUUGGCUUUUGUUAAAAGCUUUAGAACAAAAUUCGGUUGGCAAAAACUUUCAAAGUUUGGCUUAGUUCUUUGUGUCUGUUUGAUUUUUGCAUGUAUUUUGGUUUCAUUACCGAAUUCAUUUUUCCGAAAAAUCUUUCAACUUAAAAUGCUUUGAGAACGUUUCAUUUGGUCACGAUUAGCAUUUGCUUUCCUAACACAUCCAGAAUUUAUUUAUUAGUGUACGCAGACAUAUAUGUCUAAUAUUUGUAAAAGCGCAAAAUAUAUAAACUUGUAUAUCCAUCCGGGGACACUGUAAUAAAGUAAUAAAUGUAUAGAACACGAA